rnacentral:tRNA from 1 species
CGAAGUGCUUAACUUCACCAGCCGGGAGGAGAAACCCAACCGGGAAAGCGCUAGCGAAUCUCUUAGUGCAACCGCUGCACUUGUGAUGAACGUUAUGUUAAAAAAAAUGCUGGAAUCCCUUCUAGCGUAUUGAAAAACGUGAAAGGCGUGUAGUCACUGUGUCGGGUUGACUUCAAAAAUUGCACAAUAGUCUCCCUACUGAGGAAGCGGUAGGACUGAUCCGUAAGACUGCAAAGUCGUGAGGAUAAGCUGCCUAGUCAGUACUGCUGGUACCCUUUCACCCAUUCAGAGAGCCCCCAUUUUAUACUUCCGCUCUCCUUGUCGGACUCGAGCAAAAUGAUGAGCCCCUAAAUGUGUUACCUGGUUAAAGCAAUCAGGUUUCUCUUUAAAAUUAAAAAAAAAAAAAAAAAAAAAAGACAGUUCACGUCUUGUUUCCUCCAAGAUAAUGGAGAUUAAGGCGAAGGAGGAAGAAAAAAGAAAGGGAAACAAAAAGCAAGUGACCCCGACGUGAUUCGAACACGCAGCCUUCUGAUCUGGAGUCAGACGCGCUACCGUUGCGCCACGAGGUCCUGCUGAGCAGGCGCGCGCAGAGCCUUAGAACUCGCCCAUCACGGACCGCCGGUGGGACAUGGCCCGGGGGACCUCAGGGGCCGGCGCCGGUGAAGACCCCCUUCUCACUCCCCUAUGGCGACCUCACAGAUUACAACCGCAGGUCAUACAGUUUAAGUGAAGAGCAACGCAUCAGAUAUUGUGAAGAGCACAUAACCCAAAAGAAUGGUCUGUGCUACCCAUCCGCUAAAAGUUGCUCGUGUUUUCAGCGUAUAAAAACAAAUUGGAUUCAUUCUGAGUAACCGCAUUGGGGGAAAAAAAUUGUGAAAUCUAUUAAACUGAA